AAACGUGUCGAAUUUUCUUAAGCCUACUUGAUUGGUAAUCUGUAUACCUCAAAGUUACAUCUUUUGCGUAUAAAUCGUUAUCAUAUGCAGCAACAAUACCCAUUCGUAGAUGUUUUGACUCUGCAUACGCUCCUUUGGGUUCAAACCAAGUCAUAUCGUUGGUAUAUACCCCAUUCAAGACAACCGCAUCUACCGCAAUCCAUUUCUUCUCACUUUGAUCAUAGAUUUCCGUCCAAAAAAUAGGAUAGCGGAGGUCGUCAUCUAUAGAUGUACUAGUUUCUUCAGGGAGGAUAUGUGGAGACCAAUCAUCAUAGGAAGCAGUAGAAAAUGUCAAAGGUUGAAGAGAAAAUAUAAGUCUUGCUUUCAGAUUCAGAGAUCGACAGAGAGCAGUAAAUCCCUGUGCCGCCAAAUCCCGGCUUCCUUUUAGCGAAAGUAAGGAUGCUUGGUAUUCAUGAAAGUUAUGAAAUAUUUCUGGCGAAAAGCCGAUAUCAAAUCCUUGUUUCAAAGUACGAUACCCCAACUUCCGAAGCCCAUGACUCUCAAUUUUAAAAGAUUUAUUCCACCACAUCCGAAGCCCAUUUAACAAUUUUAACAAAUCCUCGUGCGUCUGGCUACUACAAACCCACGCCUCCACUACGGACGGUUGCUUUUCGACAAGCAAAUCGCGCAGCCCAUCAAGAAGUAAGGAAUUCAUUAACCAGCGAUUCCUUACUGACCCAUGGUACAACAAGCAAGUAAAGUGCAUAAUGUGAAUAGAUAAUCGAAUGCUUUUAUCCAUUGCACUAGAAGAGCCUUUCUUCGAUUCUUUUGUAAGUUGAGGAGUGAUAUGCUGUGUGACUAUGUGUAAAUCUUUUUUAUCUUCUUGUUUAUUAGGAGAAAGAUCAACUUGUUCCCAAGUGUCAAAAUCGUCGUCAAACUCGUCAUCUUCUGAGCUGCCUAACUUCUCAUUGUCUUCAUCGGAACCUUUUUCGGAUGAAGAUGCGCUCCUUUGAAGUGAGUUUAACGCUGAUAUAUUGUCAUCUAAACUCUCAGAAGGAGGUUCCGCUGAGGAAGACAAACUUGGCUUUUUCGACUGGCUACGAGUUUGACGGUGAGUUGAAGAUACAACAGUUUCCUCUUUCACUUCAGGAUUAAGAGGUAAGUUAUUGGUCCGUGUCCUACGUUUCCUUCCGCGAACAGAGUUCUUGGAUGCUUUGCGUUUGGGUGGCAUUGAGCAAAGAGUUUAUGUGAAUU